CACAGUCUUAGCAACUCAGGAUCACAUGAUCUGAACAGCUAAAACACAGGCUAGUUUUGAUUCUUAAAUAUGCUAAUUUAUUUGUUGGUGUUGAAUUUUACUAUAAAAUAUUUGCUGUUUAUUAUACUUUUGGAUUGACUGGUUUAAAGGGGUUUAAAUCUAUUUAAUUAUUUCACAAUGUAUUUAUCUUGUUAAUUUCAGAACGUAAUGGACGUGUUUCUGUUUCUUUUGGGGUUUUCACCUAUGUGCCUGAAAGGCUAAAUCACUAUGGUGACCAUCAUACAAAAAUAAAGAUGAAUCAGCUAAAUUGAAGGCUCUUUGAAUGAAAUCCUGUUCAAAGUUUCACUGCAGAGACUAUCCCUAUCAAGUUGGGAAUCGUACAGUAAAGCAAACCUGACAAAACUUGACAGUAUCCAUAACAACAGUCAGGUGCCGUUUACAUGACAACAAGUUGUCUGGAUCGAAAACCAGCUCUGUGCUUUGGUGAGAAGAAACUAGAGUUGAGAUUUUUGGCAACCAAAAGAAACACAGAAUGAAUGUGUUGUAAAACACAACAUAACUACUGUGAAAUCUUUGAUUGUUUUCAGUCGGAUAGCAACACAAAAACAUGACAUGAUUAGAUUAGCAGACACCAAAUCAAGCUUCUUCCACCUCAACCUCCUGGACUAAACCCAUAGAAAACCUGUGGAAUGAGCUGAAGGGACGAGAGCUUCAGAGAGAAGCCAAGGACAAAGUGGACAAAGAAUAGAGAAAGAUCUACAUCUUCCAAUGUUUGGAUCUGUUUUCUUCACAAAAAGGACACUGCAUAAAAUGUUGACAGCAUUGGUAUCAUUAGAGACUACACGUUUAUUUCUUUAAAAAUGGUUUAUUAAGUUUCCCAAAGGAUUUUUUUGUUGUUGCUCAAAUCAGUUUGAAAUCAUGACAUAGUGAUAAAUGAAUUUAAGUAAAAGGUCUUUAACAUUAUUCUUCCAGAAAUGCUAAUAGAUGUGUUUCUAUCCUCUUACUCCAUCUUACAAGAUUUUGUCUCUUUGUUGGUGUUUUGUCCGUCUUUGGUUCUUCUGCAACUGGUUCCGGACCUUGAAGGUUAGCUUGUUCAAGAAGUGCAUCGAUCUUUGAUUGUUUGGUUUCCUAAUGCCGUCUCUGAGGUUUAAGGCAGUUUUCCCUGAGUGUGUCUCAGUGUGUUAUUUUAGAAAUGUUUAGGAGUGUAUACGUGCACUCCCAGACAUGUCCAACUGUUCAUCAAAUGU